rnacentral:rRNA from 1 species
UACGUAGGGUGCGAGCGUUGUCCGGAAUUACUGGGCGUAAAGAGCUCGUAGGUGGUUUGUCGCGUUGUUCGUGAAAACUCACAACUCAAUUGUGGGCGUGCGGGCGAUACGGGCAGACUGGAGUACUGCAGGGGAGACUGGAAUUCCUGGUGUAGCGGUGAAAUGCGCAGAUAUCAGGAGGAACACCGGUGGCGAAGGCGCCACUCUGGGCCGAAACUGACGCUGAGGAGCGAAAGCGUGGGUAGCAAACAGG